CCGAAAAUUGUCAUCCGGCAGUCAAAAUCAUCCUGAUUGAGUUUGACUUUGACGGCCGGGAAUGAUAGGCUAGGUCACGGGAAUGCCUUUUAUAGCUAAAUUCCGGUCGCAAGAGUUUUCCCAUAUAUAGCUGAAUUCCUUUUUCUCUCUUCUGUUCUAUCAGUUCUCCUUCCAUAUUAUCUUCGGGCGUUGAUGCUUAAUUGAUGAAAAUAACCCUAAACCAUGUUUUUUAUCCAGUUUUUCUUCUCCGGCCGAGUAGCAGCAUUGCAGAGAGAGGUUUCUUCUUUGGUGCUUAACAUCUUCUCAUACCACAUUGCCUACUCCACCACCAGAAUUUAUAACUUCAUCUCCUUCUCCUUCUCGAUCCGCAUCAGUAAUUUUAACCACUGCAUUGUCUUCUCAUAUUUGAGCAAGUGCUUCAACAUCUUUGAUGAUUUCAGUUGAACUUAGGGAUCUUCUAGGGUUCCUCCUGUUCUUGGUGUUUGGUUUAAUCAAGAUCAGUGUGGUGGAAGGGGUUAAGGGAUGCAAUCUGACGUACAACAGGAUACCAUUAGCAAGAGAAGGAGAACCUUUAGCUUCUGAUAGUAAUGAUGUUCAAUACUGAUCUUAGCAAGAGAAUGAUGCUAUGCUGGUGUGAAGGGGUUAAGGGAUGCAAUCUGACGUACACCAGGAUACCAUUAGCAAGAGAAGGAGAACCUUUAGCUUCUGAUAGUAAUGAUGUUCAAUACUGUAGAUAUGAGCACGUGACAGAGAAUGUUCUCAUCUUUAUGUUAUGAAAAGGCUUACGAUGGAUAUUGAGCUUUUUGUUUCCUUACCAUGAGACUGUUAGUAACAAAAUUGUUUAAGACAUACUAAUAUGUGUAUUUGUGCAUCUAUAGUCUAGGUUGUAUAAUGAUUCCCGUAGAGCACAUGAUAUUAUAUAUAAGUGGGUUUCUGGAGCUAAUAGUCAUUGGCCAUUGCAGCGAAUCACAAUCCCUGAGAUGUUGGAGAUAUGUGUCUCAAGAAAGUUUUCCAGGCACCGCUGUUUGAGGAGAAAAGCUCUUACAAACUUGGAUGAUGUCGAUACUCUUUUCGAGUGCUGGGAAGUGAGUCAAAGAUUUCCAGUAGUAUCAUGCGACUGAAAAGAGAGAAGAACAACCCGUAGCUAUUAGUGCCUUCGAAUUCAUUUGCAUGUCAAAGGGUUUACAUUUUGGAAGUUAGUUUGGACAACAGGUGUGUUUCAGUCUUAUUCUAUUUGUAAUAUUAAUCAUUCGCUAUUAGGUUGGUGUACAAAUGGCCAUCAUCAAGUCUGAACUAGGAUCUAAAGAUAGUAAAUGUUUACGACUAGAUGCUCAAUCUACUUUAUAUUAUUCAUAUUAAAUUCCACCAUGGUUUAAAAAGGCGUUUGUGGGGUGCGCUUUAAGGCGCUUCAGGUCCUAGGCGCUUCUAAAGCGCCACUUUACGAAUUGGUUUAUAUUAGAAAGUGAAAAGUCGGCCUUUGAAGCCAAGUAGGGCCUGUUUCACGUUUUCUAACUAAAUACUAAUAAACCUAAUUUAUAGGGCAUGGUGAUCAUGAUGACGAUGACUAUCUAGAUGAUGAUAUGAAUGAUGCAGGCCUUCGUGGCUAGUAUAUUUAAAUAGCUCUUGGGUAGAAUAUGCAAUAUCAGUAUGCCAUAUGCUUAGUUAGUAUAAUUGUCCCUUUCAUUAUGUCUGAACUUCGUAGUUUUCUUUUACUAGGUUGAUAACUUCUUAUUUUUGUAUAGUAUUAUAUAUUUCAAAAAGCUCUCUUUCGCUUUACGCUUUCGCAGCGCUUUACGCUUUGGUAUGAGAGCGCUUCGCCCCACGCUUUCGCUUUUUAAAACCUUGAAUUCCACUUAAAUUGGAAACGGUAUCUGCCGUCUUAAUUCAAAUGGAAGCGCACAUGGUUCUCAACCAUGUAGUUGUGGGUUCGACUCCUACCGAUGGCGUUAAUAUUUGGUGGAUUCACUAAUCACUGCCUUCUACAGGUCAAUAGCAUCUUCAUAGCUUGAAAUUAUGGAAAAGCAUAUAUGAUGGUUUUCAUGCCAAGUUGUGCAGGGGUUGCUUAAUCAUCUACUGUAGCAGUUUUACUAUGAGCCAAAUUGUUGAAAAACUGUAUCAUAUCAACUUAACUAAUUAGCUAUAACAUAGGGAUCUUUAGAGGCAGGAUUAGCAAUUCUCAAUGCUCGGAACUUGGAAUUAAGCACCAACGGAUUCUUCAGCUAAAAAUCUUCUAAUAGGAUUCUUAUUUAGUGUGAAAAGUUUUUUUUUUUGGCUCAUUUUCUUUGACUAUGUCAUUCACAGAAUCAGGUAGGUAUUGCUGGUGCUGGAGUUCCUAAAAUUCAGUACCAAGGGUCCUUGAAAAAGGUGUUUUGCAAUAUUUUAGUUCGUUGACUUUUUUCAGUGUUUUCAGUGUUUUUGCUUUGUGCUCUAGGAGGAGGGCAGGAUCAGAAAGAUGAUGGAAAAGAAUAGAAGAGGAAGCGUGAUAGUGGAAGACCUUUCGUUCCUAGAGAAGACCUACAGAUUAAUUCGGCACCAUUAACUUAUCUGGGUUUUCUUUUAGUCUCAUUCAUUCUCGAAUCCUUGGCAGGCAUGGUGGUACCCUGGGAAUUCGCCUUACGGAUGGCAUAUACAUGCAGCCUGUCAAUAUACCUAGAAUGUGUUGCAGAUUAUGGGUGCUUACCUUAUGGAUGUGGUAGAUAUGCUCAGUUCAAUUUAGCAGAGCUGCAAGUAGUGCAUCAAACAGUAUGUCAAGGCUUCAGGUUCAUAUAAAUGCUCAUAUGCAUUCACUUCAGAAUGAAAAACCAUCAGCUCCUACUACUUCUAGAAAACGACAGGUGAACGUCGGAGCAAGCUUAUUAACAUCUACCCGCACAACAACUUCAGCCAAUCAGAUGAUUUUUAGGCUUCAGAUGUUGUAGCUCUUACUUGCAAAACAGGAAAGUCCGGUCCAAUGUAACGGGUUAAUGCAAAACUUUGCCCCAGCAUCAUGGGUGUUACCUAAAUCUAGAAAAGAAAAGAUACUUUGGGAGGAUGCCGAAUCCAAAGAUAAAACGGGGAAGAGAAAGAGAGCAGAAAAAAGAAAAUGGAUUGAAAAAGGGAGGGUGAGAGACUUAAGCCUUUGUUGGCUAAAGGAAGGAUCUUUUGCGACAUGCCACCUUUAGCUAACAAAGACAUCAUCUUUCUAACAAUUACAUGCUUUGAUAACUUUAAAAUUUUCCAAUCACAACAGAGAAACAUCCAUUGCGACACUUUGGUGGGUUUUGAGUUGGCGUAUUCAACAACUUAUGCUUUUGCAGUCCCGGUCCCAAGUUCUCUUGAAAUUGAUCAUGUUGAUAUGUUUACGACCCGUGAGUUUUUUCUUCUUCUCUGCUUUGGUGUUUUAGGCCAUUCAUAUUUAUGAUUACGCGUGCAAAUUGUAUGUUCAAAAUACUCUAUUUCUUUGCACUUUGUGCCUCACUCAGCAAUAAAUUAGAACACUGUCGUUAAAA